rnacentral:rRNA from 1 species
AACGCUAGCUACAGGCUUAACACAUGCAAGUCGAGGGGCAGCAUCAUCAAAGCUUGCUUUGAUGGAUGGCGACCGGCGCACGGGUGAGUAACACGUAUCCUACCUGCCGACAACACUGGGAUAGCCUUUCGAAAGAAAGAUUAAUACCGGAUGGCAUAGUUUUCCCGCAUGGGAUAAUUAUUAAAGAAUUUCGGUUGUCGAUGGGGAUGCGUUCCAUUAGGCAGUUGGCGGGGUAACGGCCCACCUAGCCAACGAUGUUUAGGGGUUCUGAGAGGAAGGUCCCCCACACUGGAACUGAGACACGGUCCAGACUCCUACGGGAGGCAGCAGUGAGGAAUAUUGGUCAAUGGUCGAGAGACUGAACCAGCCAAGUAGCGUGCAGGAUGACGGCCCUCCGGGUUGUAAACUGCUUUUAGUUGGGAAUAAAGUUCGGGACGUGUCCCGUUUUGUAUGUACCAUCAGAAAAAGGACCGGCUAAUUCCGUGCCAGCAGCCGCGGUAAUACGGAAGGUCCAGGCGUUAUCCGGAUUUAUUGGGUUUAAAGGGAGCGUAGGCGGAUUAUUAAGUCAGCUGUGAAAGUUUGCGGCUCAACCGUAAAAUUGCAGUUGAUACUGAUAGUCUUGAGUGCACACAGGGAUGCUGGAAUUCGUGGUGUAGCGGUGAAAUGCUUAGAUAUCACGAAGAACUCCGAUUG